UAUUUUAACGUCAUCGUCGUGAAUUAACGAAAAACAGAGUUAUUGGUGUAACUAAUAACAUCCUACACAGAGGAAAAGAUUUGUGCGCAAUUAGAUCAUGCAACAAGUGUUGUGACGUUUAAAUAAACCUUUCUAAAAUUUUGAAUUUAUAAAGUAAUUUAAUUUAGUUUAUUGCAUUCUCUUGCAAUUCAGAAUGGAGCUUAAUGAGGGGACGUCAGCUAUUAUCCCAGCAAGACGUGCAGCGUAUUUUCCACACCAUAUUUACAAUCAUCGACAUCCACUUUUUAUUUUCAACUCGAAACAUAGUUUAGUAGUGACUAGGAGUAGGCGGUGCUGCUAACGAGUUUUUACUCUCGUCUACAUAAUCGUUAUUGAGUAUUCUUUUGUUCUGUGUAAUUCCUGUAAGAGAUCUUACAGCUUUGUGAUGGAGAAUUUAAAAUGUUUAGGGGCCAGAUCGCUCAUCUAUAAAAAAGAAAAGUUUAUUAAAUGAAUAAUAAAAUAAAUAUAUUUGUGAUGAUAAUCUUUUUUUUUUUUUUUUUUUUUCAAAUAAAGUCAACCAGCUCCUGAAUACAGUUCACCAUCCAUAGUACGAAUAAACAUUAUCCUUAAAUGUAACAGUGAAUUUAGGUUAAUAGUGUAAUAUAUGCCGCAGUACUUUUCAUUAUAAGUUUUUCUUUCAAUUUACGUUAUUAUUACUAAUCUAUAAAUGUGAAUUUUGAAAGAAAUGUUAAAUAUGUGCUAAAACACAUUGGUCUACUAAGACUGAAGUUGAAAACAGUCUUUGAAUGCAAAAAUAUACUCUGGAAGCAGUCAUGUGUCAUAUACAAAGAGUAGCACAUUCCAUUAUAUCAAAUGAUCCUGGAAGAUACUUCAGCAGGUACGAAAGGAGGAGGUCGGUAACGAUAUCUAUACAGCUUUUUCAUGAAUCGAUGUUCAAGUGCGCAAAAAAAGCUCACAGUACAAUGUAUCUUCCAAGACAGCUUCCUUCCAAAGACUGAGUAAUACGAAUAUGUAGAAUUAUACAAAUAUUUCAAAUUUAUGUCCGGUUACAUAUACAAAUUGUUUUAAAUGGUCAAUGCUAAUGACAGUGGACGAACUACUGACUUAUUUUUCAGUUUGAUGAGUGGAAUUGGUGGAAGACAAAUUCCAAUUUCUCUUUAAAACAAGCCACAUAACUGAGCUCUAGAUCUUCUCUUUAUUAUCCAAUAAAUCUGUAAUUUCACUGUAAAGCAAUUAUUAGAAUUUGUAAAGAAACUUAAAAAUAACUUAACUUUCAACUUUCUCAUGGUUUCGUCUGAUGUUAAAUCAUUGCUCUCUAAUGUUCUGAUGAAAGGUGCUCUAAAUUGUCAACAAAUAAGCUUGAAGAAAUUCAUUACUCACAUAUUAAAGAAUCAUUCUCAUUUAUCCAACUAUUUCACAACCAAAUGCAUUUUAUUUUCUUGAAUAAUUCUUAUCAGCAAACUAAGACAUUAGCCAGAGGGAGUCCACGCAAUCAUAUUCUCGUUGAUAUUUACAUGUACUAAAUUUUGAAACAAAAGUAUUUAAUAAACUUUACGUUUUGGAUACGUUACGUCGAUGAAACAUUUGUCCACUUUGAUGACAGUGAAGAAAAUUUAUCUCACAAAACUCUCAGUCACAGAAGUACUAUAGAUGCUUCCCAUUCAGCUCAGGUUUGAACUCGACAC
rnacentral:misc_RNA from 1 species